AGUCACUGUGUGCACAUGGCUGCAAUACCUGAAUCAAAGAACUGUGGUCCUGCACAGAAGACCAUAGGGACUGCUUUGCAGCAGAAGCCCAGAGGAGAGGGACCAGGGCGGGAUCCUAUCCAUGAGUGACAGCUGCCUGUCCAACACAUACCACUGCCAUGUGGGAUAAACAACGGUGAGGAUAAAAAUUCAGAUCUUCAAGCUCUGCCCAUUCAACUCAAGGAAAAUCUCCAUCAGCAGUAUGGAACCUUUGACACACACGUGUGAACAGUCUUGGCUCCAAAAGAGAACAGUAGAAUAAAACCAGA